rfam:Spinacia oleracea cultivar SynViroflay scaffold80348.con0001.1, whole genome shotgun sequence.
GCCGGUGAUGAAUGUAAAAUUAUGGUUGAUUGCAGAAAAUGCAAACGCAUAUUGUUGAUAAAUUUGUACUAGGACGGUCUGAGGC